rfam:Gossypium raimondii chromosome 8, whole genome shotgun sequence.
AACCCAUGCAUCAGACAUUUCUGCAGUAAUUCUUUAAAUCUUUCCCAAGCUUUAUACACCAUUUCAUCCUCUGGUUGUCGAAAGGACGUGGUGUUAUUUCUAAGCUU